UACGGAGGGCGCGAGCGUUGUCCGGAAUCACUGGGCGUAAAGGGCGCGUAGGCGGCCGAGGGCAGUCGCUGGUGAAAGCCCGGGGCUCAACCCCGGGUCGGCCAGCGAUACUCCCCGGCUCGAGCACUGUAGGGGCGGGCGGAAUUCCGGGUGUAGCGGUGGAAUGCGUAGAGAUCCGGAAGAACACCGGUGGCGAAGGCGGCCCGCUGGGCAGGGAGACCGCAAGGUCGGCUGACGCCGAGGCGCGGCAGCGUGGGGAGCAACCAGG
rnacentral:rRNA from 1 species